CCUACGGGAGGCUGCAGUGGGGAAUAUUGGACAAUGGGGGGAACCCUGAUCCAGCGACGCCGCGUGAGUGAAGAAGUAUUUCGGUAUGUAAAGCUCUAUCAGCAGGGAAGAAAGAAAUGACGGUACCUGACUAAGAAGCCCCGGCUAACUACGUGCCAGCAGCCGCGGUAAUACGUAGGGGGCAAGCGUUAUCCGGAUUUACUGGGUGUAAAGGGAGCGUAGACGGCGAUGCAAGUCUGAAGUGAAAGGCGGGGGCUCAACCUCCGGACUGCUUUGGAAACUGUAUGGCUGGAGUGCAGGAGAGGUAAGUGGAAUUCCUAGUGUAGCGGUGAAAUGCGUAGAUAUUAGGAGGAACACCAGUGGCGAAGGCGGCUUACUGGACUGUAACUGACGUUGAGGCUCGAAAGCGUGGGGAGCAAACAGGAUUAGAUACCCGUGUAGUC
rnacentral:rRNA from 1 species